GCAGGGAAGCUUUCGGGGAGGAGAUAGAUUACGUGCAAGUCGGCUUUCGAACCAAGGAUUUAAUUGGCGUUCUAGCUUACCAAGAAGAAACCAAGAGCAAGGUACCCGCACAGGAGAGUAGGCAGAAGGGCCCAGUUCAUCCAAAGGAAAAGAGAAGCUGGUGGAAGCUUAGCUAAGGUGGAAGGAAAGAAGAGCUUAGUGUUUAGUUAGUUAAUUAAUCUGGAAUAUUUUUGUGUUUGUUUCCCCCUUCCUUUUGUGAUGCUUAUAUUUCAUUUUGUGAGGUUAUGUAAUUUCCACUUAUGGGAUGUAU